AAGCGCGGAUGGUCACACUGCGUGAACUACAAAAGAAAAACAAAAGUGAAGAAUUCAACAAAAAUAUUAAAAGUCAUGUAGCACACUGAGCUGCAGUCUUAAUUAAAGCAACCAAACAAAGCGAUGUCACUGCGGGCGCUGCGAAAGAGCCACAACAAUAACACAGGAACUGCCAGAACGCCACAAACACCGUCGUCGUCGUCGUCGUCGCUCUUCAAGAAGGCCAGCACAGCAACAUCGACGUCACCGAAGAAGAAAUCUCUAGCCCAAACUCUAGGCAGCAACUCCGCCACCCGCUCAGUGGGCAAGCAAACGCUCUUCCGUCAGAGGCAGCUCCUGGGUCGCUGCUGCCACUCAAGUCCCGACCUGCGACAAGGGGAAAAGUAUCGGAACAGCAGCCUGUUGCGCAGCAAAUCGGAGGGGGAUGUUGGCCUAGCCCUUCUGGAGCGAAACUCUGGUGCUACAUUGACGGCGGCCAACGCCAAGUCGGAGGUGUGUCUGCAGAGAAUAAGCUCGCACAGCUACGAGCACACGCGGUCCCCAAACUCAAAUAGCUCAGCAAUGCUAGGUGGAGCACGUUCCCAUCGGGACUUAACCCAAUCGUCGUAUGGCCACCAUGCUGGCGGAAACCAUGGUGAUAGCCUGGAGGUAAGCACCAGGGCCCCGCGUCGGAUGAGCGAGUGUAGUUUGGGCUACAGCCAGACCAGCUCGCGUCUUACUGGCGGCAACUCUCACUCCAUGUUCGCCAGCCAAAUGACGCUCUCCUCGGGCUCCCAGGCACCGCCCGUGGAUCCCAAUGCCGUGCUGCGCGUGCCCAUCAUCGGUUACGAGGUGAUGGAGGAGCGGGCACGCUUCACCGUGUACAAGUUGCGUGUGGAGAACCCGGAGACAAAUGACUGCUGGCUGGUGAUGCGGCGCUACACGGACUUUGUCCGGCUAAAUGGCAAGCUGAAGCAAUCCUUUCCCAAGCUGUCCCUCAUGCUGCCGCGUAAGAAGCUCUUUGGGGACAACUUCAAUGCCGUCUUCCUGGACAACCGUGUGCAGGGCCUGCAGAUCUUCGUGAACUCGGUGAUGGCCAAAGAGGAGCUGCGCAAGUGCAAGCUGGUGCGAGAGUUCUUUUGCCUGGACGAGCCGCCCUCGUACUCCGAGUCCAUGGAGGAGUGUCGGGCAAUUUUCGAGGCCCAGGAGGAGACCAUUGCCCACUUGAAGCUGCAGAUACAAAACAAAAACGAUCUCAUACUCAGCUUGCAGCAAAAGCUGCGCGACGAGAUGAACGAAAAGGAGCAGCUCAGGGAGGCUAUGAAAAACGUAGACCUCAACUGUUCGCACUGCUCCUCGGCCAACGAAGUGGAAGCUCUGGGCCUGAAGUAGACGUAGAACCCUUCCAAAAUCCAGUUGGAUGUGCAUGUGCGUACUACAUUAUGCUGAGCAUAACCCUACGCACUCGCACCGAUCCAAACCCAAGUGCAUAUCGAGGAGCAUGCUCCGCUCCGUCAGUGCUUUAGUAUUCAUAUCUCUAGACCUAGAAGCUAGCCAGUGCUGCCCCAAGCUGGUACUGUAUGAAAGGCAAUCUUAGAUAUUUUUGAUAUACGUUUACGGGCAAGCUACCAGUUAAGGAUAAGGAACUACACCUAGAUCUAUGGAUAAACAGUAUGCAAAAAUGGAAUGGAAAUGCCCCACAAUUAUUGAGCCACGAAAAUGAACCAAAAGAGCAUUUAGCCAAAGUCAGGUGUGAGUGGGAGAAAUUUUCAUUGCAACGUCAUCGUCAUCUUAAGAGCAUCGCGGAGGAUAAGAGAGCGCGGGCGCAUUACGCCUUUACACCCAUUUACACGCCCAUUUCCGACUCCCCCCGAAGGAAAAUCAUCCAGAAUUUGCAUUAACCAAACGAAGACGAUAAUUAAACUGAAGAUAAAAACCCGACCGAUAAAGAGUCUGCGCAAAGAGAACGGCCGCAAGAGAGAGGGAGGAAAGAGAGCACGAGCACUGCUUUUUCGGGCUCCAAGUUUUUGUGCUCCCCAAUUGGAUUUUGCGUCUCUUUCGUGACACAACGUGCGUUCAAAGUAGCGGAAAGUUUUUCAAUCGCGGCCCGGUCUGUGGUUGUGUUAGUAAAUGCAGUUUUAAUUGUAGUUUUGUGCUUCGAAAGUGGAGUUUUCUUGUCGAAAUCGGGAAAAUCUGCCAUGACAAAGUAGAUAAACAAAGGCCAGCCCUGCAAAACCAGUGCCGCGAGCGUGUAAAUAUCGAUUUUUCGGCAGACGCGCGUCGAUGACCUCGCACACAACAGAGACUAAAAUUGCGAGAUAAAAAAUCUGCAAUACAGCGAAAAUAAACCGAACGUUUUUAGACAGAGUUUUAAAGUAAGCCAAACGCUUUACAUAAUUGCAACCACAACGACGGCGGUGCAAGGGGGAAAACUCUCGAUUGGAGGCAGCAGCAGCAGUACAGAAAGAAGAAGAAGAAGCGGCAACAGAAGAAGCAGAGCACCACUGGAGCGGCAGAGCAGCGACUGCGGCGCAAGCAGCGAAAAGAGCGCCAGCCGAAUACCGCAGCGACACAUGCUCAGAUACCGUCUCGUUUCCACUCACUUCCUCAAGCAGCCGUAGUGAGCGAGCGCAAGGGAGACAGCUAUACCGCGAGAGAGACGUGGGUGCAGCUGAAAGUGCAUUUGGCCGAUCGAGCAGGAUAUAAAAUAAAUAUAAAAGCGCGACAGGUGCGUUCUACGUCAAUCUCUUAGAACCCCCAAAAGAAGGUGGAAGACAGGCCCGGAGCGCGCCGCACAGGGCAGAAGGAAAUUCGCAUCCGAUCCGGCAUCAAAAUCCAGUCACAACGUAUUCGCCAGGAGUCCUGCGCCUGCUGGGUCUGAGCUCUAGUUUGGAUAGUGAAAAUGUGCAGAGAUCGCGAUAUGAGUUCGUGGUAGAUCAGCGCAACCGUCGUUACAAGGUCAAGAAAAAAAUCAAGCUCGAGGGCGAGUAGGGCGCACCUGGGCAGCAGCCCUCGGGAGAGCGGAGUGCGCAGACGCGAGAUCCUGGACCAGCAGCAGCAGCAACAACCAGAUCGUCAGCUACCAAACCAAAGUUAACAAUAUUAGCAAAAUUAAAUAAUAGUU